rnacentral:rRNA from 1 species
UGGGGAAUAUUGCGCAAUGGGCGAAAGCCUGACGCAGCGACGCCGCGUGAGGGAUGAAGGCCUUCGGGUUGUAAACCUCUUCAGCAGGGAAGAAGCGAAAGUGACGGUACCUGCAGAAGAAGCACCGGCUAACUACGUGCCAGCAGCCGCGGUAAUACGUAGGGUGCAAGCGUUGUCCGGAAUUAUUGGGCGUAAAGAGCUCGUAGGCGGUCUGUCGCGUCGGAUGUGAAAAUCCAGGGCUUAACCCUGGACCUGCACUCGAUACGGGCAGACUAGAGUUCGGUAGGGGAGACUGGAAUUCCUGGUGUAGCGGUGAAAUGCGCAGAUAUCAGGAGGAACACCGGUGGCGAAGGCGGGUCUCUGGGCCGAAACUGACGCUGAGGAGCGAAAGCGUGGGGAGCGAACAGGAUUAGAUACCC